rnacentral:rRNA from 1 species
CGUAGGGGGCAAGCGUUGUCCGGAAUUAUUGGGCGUAAAGCGCGCGCAGGCGGUUCUUUAAGUCUGGUGUCUAAGUGCGGGGCUCAACCCCGUGUCGCACUGGAAACUGGGGAACUUGAGUGCAGAAGAGGAGAGCGGAAUUCCACGUGUAGCGGUGAAAUGCGUAGAGAUGUGGAGGAACACCAGUGGCGAAGGCGGCUCUCUGGACUGUAACUGACGCUGAGGCGCGAAAGCGUGGGGAGCAAACAGGAUUAGAUACCCUGGUAGUCCACGCUGUAAACGAUGAGUGCUAGGUGUUGGGGGUAUCAUGCCCUCGGUGCCGAAGUUAACACAUUAAGCACUCCGCCUGGGGAGUACGGUCGCAAGACUG